AGUAGUAAUAAUCAUUGUUACAGACAUCCAGACAGACAAGCAGAGAUGUGCAGACAUGCCUCCAGCCACCCAGACAGGCAGAGGGGGAGAAAAAAACCCGACCCAGGGACACAUACAGGUAGGCCAGACGGGCCUCGUGCCCCCGGUACACCGAGCCCCCCGGGGCUCCCCGGCCGCUUUGGUGACUCUAGAUAACCUCGAGACGAUCGCUUGCCCUCGUGGCGGCGACGACUCAUUCGAAUGUCUGCCCUAUCAACUUUUCUAUGGUACUUUCUGUGCCUACCAUGGUGACCAUGGGUAACGGGGAAUCAGGGUUCGAUUCCG
rnacentral:ncRNA from 1 species